UGACUCAGCCAUAUCACCCUGAAUGUGCCUAAUCUCAUCUGAUCUCGCUAAACAGGACUGGGUCUGAUCAGUACUUGGAUGGGAGACUACCAGGAAUACUGGGUGCAUUUCU
rfam:Mesocricetus auratus contig088969, whole genome shotgun sequence.